UUUUUUUUUUUUAAAGCAAUUUAUUGGGUUUUACAAUAGGAAUAAAUGUAAUAAACAAUAUAGCAUUCGUCUUAACAUAAUUUCACAUUUUCUUUGGACUUCCUCACAUCUCCCGCUCCCACCUUCAUCAUUAUAACAUUUUGUCAGCAAUUUAUCAUCUUAUUUAAAUUCUUAUAUCUCUUCGAUAUUUCAUAAUCUUAAAGUUCUCAUAAAGAGUUAAACUUUCACAACUUUUCUUGUUUCCUUAAAAAUUUCUAAGUUAAGUGGUGCUCAGUUAUUUAGUCCAGCAUCUUAUUCAGCAUUCAAUCAAAUCACAAUGUUUUUGUAGGUAGUUCUUAAAUUUCUUCCAGUCCUCCUCGAUUCUCUCUUCUCCCAGGUCACGGAUUCUGCCAGUCAUUUCAGCCAGUUGCAUAUAGUCUAUCAGUUGCAUCUGCCAUUCUUCCAGUGUGGGUAGAUCUUGGGUUUUCCAAUGUUUUGCGAGUAGUAUCCUUGCUGCUGUUGUUGCAUACAUAAAAAAUGUCUGGUCCUUCUUUGCCACCCCUUGGCUGACAAUACCCAAAAGGAAGGCCUCUGGUUUCUUAGUGAAAGUAUAUUUAAAUACCUUUUUCAAUUCAUUAUAAAUCAUUUCCCAGAACGCCUUCACUUUAGGGCAUGUCCACCAGAGGUGAAAGAACGUUCCUUCACACUCUUUGCAUUUCCAGCACUUGUUAUCAGACAGGUGGUAAAUUUUUGCGAGUUUGACUGGGGUCAUAUACCAUCUAUAAAUCAUUUUCAUUACAUUUUCUUUCAAAGCAUUACAUGCAGUAAAUUUCAAUCCAUUACUCCACAGCCUUUCCCAGUCCUCAAACAUAAUAUUAUACCCAAUAUCCUGUGCCCACCUUAUCAUAGCCGAUUUAACCAUUUCAUCUUGUGUAUUCCAUUCCAACAGCAAGUUAUACAUCCUUGAAAGUAUCUUAGUCUUUGGUUCUAACAAUUCUGUUUCUAAUUUCGAUUUCUCCACCUGGAACCCUAGUUUCUUAUCACUUUUAAAAACUUCUUUAAUCUGGGCAUAGUGUAACCAAUCUCGCACUUUGUCUUUCAUUUUCUCCAAGCUCUGCAAUUUCCAAUUGUCUCCAUCUUUAUCUAGUAUUACCCAAUAUUUUGGCCAUUUGGCCUCCAUAUUGGGUCUUGUUCGGGCCUUAGCUUCCAAAGGUGAAAGCCACCUUGGUGUUUUAUUUUCCAGCAAGUCUUUAUAUUUUGUCCAGACAUUAAACAGUGAUUUUCUAACAAUAUGGUUCUUAAAGGCCUUAUUUGCUUUAACUUUGUCAUACCAUAAAUAUGCAUGCCAUCCAAAAACAUUGUUAAACCCCUCCAAAUCUAACACAUCAGUGUCUUCAAGAAGUAGCCAGUCUUUUAGCCAGCAGAACGCUGCGGCUUCAUAGUACAACUUUAAGUCCGGCAGGGCAAAGCCCCCUCUUUGUUUUGCAUCGGUUAGUAUCUUAAACUUAAUUCUGGGCUUUUUGCCCUGCCAGACAAACUUCGAAAUGUCUCUCUGCCACUUCUGAAAGCACUCCAUUUUGUCCAAUACCUGCAGUGUUUGAAAUAAAAACAACAUUCUUGGCAAUACAUUCAUCUUAAUCGCAGCAAUUCGGCCUAACAAAGAAAGUUUCAAUUUUGACCAACUGUCUAAGUCUCUCUUAAUUUCUGUCCAACAUUUUUCAUAAUUAUCCUUAAAUAGACUUAGAUUUUUGCUGUUAUGUUUACCCCUAGGUAUUUUACUUUUUAACCACAUUAAGUUCCGUCUCAUUCUGAAACCGUUCUGACUCUGUCUCAGUCAGAUUUUUCCCCAAAACCUUAGUUUUCUGUUUGUUUAAUUUAAAUCCCGCCACCCGACCAAAAUCAUUAAUCAAUUGUAAUACUCUUUUCGUACUAGGCUCUGGCUUCUGCAAGGUCAAAACCAGGUCAUCUGCAAAAGCUUUUAAUUUAUAUUGUUUCUGACCAACCUGAAUUCCUUCCACCAGCUGGUCCCCUCUAAUCAUGUUCAAUAGCACUUCCAGGACCGAAAUAAAUAACAAAGGGGAAAUAGGGCAACCUUGUCGUGUCCCUUUUUCAAUUUUGAACUCUUCUGUAACCACAUUAUUAACUAUCAGUUUUGCUUUCUGUUCUGAAUAUAUCGCCUCAAUCCCAUUCUCAAAACCCCGUCCCACUCCCAUCUCUUUUAAGUUUCCCAUCAUAAAUUUCCAAGAAAUGUUAUCAAAGGCCUUCUC
rnacentral:lncRNA from 1 species